CUUCAGCAAGCUAGUGGGAUAUAUAUAUAUACAUUUCUAUAAACAACUUACAUAUUAAUUACACACGAUGACAAACCUGUUUCAUACUUGUGAUUUAAAAGUAACUACUACAGUAUCAUAUAACGGAAUUGACCACAUCGAUUUCCCAUUAUUUAUUGUUAUUAUAGAAUAUAUGCAUCGGCUAAAUUAAAUAUAUAAACUACCGCGCGGCCGGCUUCUUCAUUUAGUAACCGGUGUGCUUCUCUAUUCAAAUGUUUUACCGGGAGUCCAAGCACCAACAGUAUUAAUCGGACCUCGAGAUCCCCAACAUUUCAUCUGGGCUCAUCCUCUCAAGCUCAUUUUGCCUCCAAGAUGCAAAAUUAUUUUUGUUUUGUGGGUCUGUCGCAAGCGGGAAGUCCUCAUUUUUAUGAGGUUGGGACUUCAUUCUCAUGUAAAGCCUCAUUGUUGCCACACAGUCCUCGUAAGUAUCUUGUAUACCUGUCUGAAU
rnacentral:lncRNA from 1 species